UUCAAGCACACUGCCAACGCUUCGGGGGUUUGGGGUUUUGAAGCCCACUCCCUUGGCCUCUCGCAGUCUACUGCACAUCCUCCUCCACUGACUUCGGGUCACCACACUCCCCCCUGGACUUAACCACCACCUUCCUUAGCCCCUCAGGCUCGUCCGCAUUGCCUGGCCAGCCACGUCUGAGCCCCCAAGGCCUUCUGGAGUUCUCACUCUGUCAUUUCCCCAUGGGAAACCUCACCACCCCACAUUUGUAUUCACAUCUCUGUGGUGUCACUCCCAAGCUUAUACCCAGCCCAAAUGUCCUCUCUGAGCUCUAGUUCAGCACCCUCGGCACUGAAUCCAUUCAUGACCUUCUUGUUCCAAGCCUAGGACCCAGGCCAGGCUCCCGCUCACGCAGGUGACUCCGCCAGCCAUCCCGCUGUGCAGCCAGAAUCCCGGGAGUUACCGUGGACCCACCAUGGAGCCCCGCUGCCUGCCUUUCCUCACCCUCUCCCCCGCCAUCUUCGUGGUUUUGGCAGCAUGAUGUCCAUCCCAAUCCCAGCUCCCGCUGGCUCUCAAUGGACCACACUAAGAACUUAAUAACGCUCUUCUCUGCAUCCGUUCUGGGCCCCAUCUAAUCCAUUUCCCACACUGGAAAGUUUGGAGUAUUGUUUUCAAAAUCUGCAACUGAUCACAUCAUGCUUCCCUUUAAAACUCUGAAAAAUCUUUAAAACCAAAAGUCACUCAACGUCCUGUGGGGCCUGGCCCAUGGCUCUCUCUCCAGGAGCACUUGAGCUCUCCCCCGGUCUCAGCACCGUGGCCACCCAGAUGUCCCCCACUGCUCCUCUAAUUGCACACCCCCUCUACGCACGCCAGAGCCCACUCAUGUACUGCUUCUGGAGGAGACCUUCCCUAAGACACCACCUGUCCCCAUCUGCCACGUGUAAAUCAGCUUCCUCUGCUACACACUUUGAGAAAUCUGUUCCUCGCCUUCAGAGCAUGUAUCUCAAUUUGUAAAGCAAAUUCAAACAGUAUCUUUAACGUGCUUCUCCUUCACUAGAUGGUAUGCCAGUCUAUUUUUGUUAAUCAUUAAGUGUCCCAGAACAAUCCUUGAACCACAGUAGACACCUGAUACAGAUUUGAUGAGAAGAUAAACAGAAAAAUAAGUGAGCUCUUGGGCAAGGAGGCUAAGUAUACUUGCACUUUAAAAUUCCGUACACGUUUUCUGAACAAUCAGGUUCAGAAGUAGAGGGCUGGCAGUAAAAUGAAUUAAAUCUCCACUGCGCGCAACACACAGGGUGAAACUGUCAUGUAACACACACUGAGAUGUGAUGGACAUACAGUAAGCUGCUCAGAAUUCAAGUGUACAAUUGGAGCAGUUGCAACACAUGUGCACUUGUGAAACCAUCACCAGAAUCAAGGUAAUGAACACCCCUACCCCCCAAAGGACUCCUUGUGCCCUCAGAGUGUCUCUACACAAGCACUGGUCUACUUUCUGCCACUACAGAUUAGGAUGGCUUUUUUGUAGAAUUUUACAUAAGGGGAAUCAUACAGUAUGAGCUUUUUUUCUAGCUUCUUUACUUAGCAUAAUUUUUACCCACGCUAUAGCAUAUUCCCUUUUAUUGCUGAGUAGUAUUCUAUGGAAAUACAAUACUUUGUUUAUCCACAUACCAGUUGAAAAUAUCUGGAUUGUGUCUAGUUUGCGGCUAUUUAAAAAUAAAGUCCCAUUUUCUUGGGUAAACACUUAGAUAUGGAAUUGCUGAAUCAUUUGGUUGACGUGUGUUUAAUAUUUCAAGAAACAGCAUUUUCUAAAGCGGCUGUACAAUUUUCAUUCCCGCCAGCAGUGGAUGGGAGUUCCAGCCCAUCCACAUCCUUGCCGACACGUCGCAGGAUCAGGCUUUCCAGUUUUAGCUGUUCCAAUAGGUGUGUGUAGUGGUGUCUCACUGUGGUUUUAAUUUACAUUUCCCUAGUGACUAAUAAUGUCGAGCAUCUUGUCAUGUGCCUGUCAUCUGUAUAUCUUCUUUGGUGAAGUAUCUGCUCAAAACCCCUUGCCCAUUUUUAAAUUGACUGUUUCCUUAUUAUUGAGAGUCCCUUAUACAUUCUGGAUAUAAGUCUUACUUGGUAGAAUUCACCAGUUAGGCAAUCUGGCCUGGAAUUUUCUUUUGAGAAGCUUUUAAACUACAAGUUUAAAUUUUGUAAUAGAUACAGGGCUACUGAAGUUAUCCGUUUCUUCUUGAAUGAGCUUUGGUAGAGUCUGUGUCUUCCAUGGGAAUUGUACUUUUCAUCUAAGAUAUAGAAUGUAUCGGCAUAAAAACGUUCAUAAUAUCCUGUUAUUACCCUUUAAACAUCUGUAGAAACUAUAGUGAUCCUUCACAUUGGUCAUUUGUGUCUUCUCUCUAUUUUUUCUGACCAGUCUAAGGGGCCCAUCAACUUUAUUGAUUUUCUCAGAGAACCAGCUCUUGAUUUUGUUGGUUUUCUCUAGUAAUUUUCUGUUUUCCGCGUCACCCAUUCCCAUCCUGCCCUUUAUUGUUUUGUUUUGUCUAGUAUUUGCUGUGGGUUUAAUUUUGCCCUUAUUUGUCUAUCUUCCUAAGGUGGAAGCUCUAUUACAACCAACAAAAGACUUAAAUCAUAUGCAGGGUGAGUUCUGUCUCACUCCCAGAAUAUCGUUUUAACAGUUUAUAACGAGGGUGCUUAAGACUCACACCCCACAAAAUAUAGUUACUGUUAGUUAUUUGAAGAACCAGCCUUGGCUCACUGACAUGGCAGUUACUUGAAUUCAAUCUAAGUCAACGUGCUUGGUCAGAGGUCAGAGGAAGGAGCAACAAACUCUUCUGCCCCAUUUCUCAUCCACUGAUUAAGUCUGGGAGACACUCAGUUCCAGUUUCUCAUCACUUAAAAGCAAAAGGCUUAAAAGUGUGGUACUUUCUGGAAGCUUAACCUUUGCCACAAGGCUGUCGAGAAUUUAGCCCCAUUCUAUUUAUGGAGCUUGUUUUCAAAAGAAACAAAAAUGCCUUAACAAAUAAGAGAACUGCGACCAGAAAAUUUCUUGUUUCCGUGAGAAGAAAUCUAUUACCAGCACCAAUGUCACAUGAACGUCGUUGAACAAGGCAAUUUCUCCAGCACCACAGAGAGAUCGCCCUGUGGUUACCCAAGAAAUCGAGCCUGAAGUAGAUUCCAUGUGUCCGCACGCCUCUUACACCUCCUGGGAGCAAAGCAGCAGAGGCUAUGGGCCAGGAUGACCCCUCUGAAACUCCUAACUUUCUGUCAAAACCCCUUUAACUUUCUUUCACAAAGUGAAUGACAACGUCAUAACCUCCUGGCAUGCGUUCAGAAAGUAACAGGCUUUUUCAGAAAAUCUGUAUUCCUGACAAAAGACUUCUGAACAAAUUUGCUAACUUCAGAUGGAACUUAAAAGUCUCUUAUGAACUUAAACCAUCUCAAUCACAGGAAAUCGGUGGGAAAGUGUCUUCCUGGCAGAAGCAUAGCAGUGAGACACUCAGAACUGAGGGAGAAAGGCCACCACAGGCCAGGGUGUUUACGAAUAACCCAAA